rnacentral:lncRNA from 1 species
UUUUUUUUUUUGCUUUUGGUGGACUGUGGUUUCACUAGAUGUGUGCAUGGGUAGAUCUCUUUUUUAUUUUGCUAUUUGAGAUUUACUGGGCUUGAAUUUGUGAAUUAGUGUCUUUCAACAGUCCUGGGAUGUUCUUAGCCAUUGUAUUGUCAGACAUUGAUUCUUCUCCAUUUUCUCUCUCUUCUCUUUCUGAAAGUUCAAAUAGAUGAUUGUUAGAUCCCACUCUGUCCUUCCUAUGCCUUAAUCUCUAUUUUGUUUUCUAUUAGUUCCCUCUUCAGCUAUAUGUCUUUUUUUUUUAAUUAAUAGAUUUGUUUGUUUGUUUGUUUGAGACAGGGUCUUGCACUGCUGCCUAGGCUAGAGUGCAGUGGUGCAAUCAGGGCUCACUGCAGCCUCACUCAACUUCCCAGUCUCAAGCCAUCCUCCUACCUCAGCCUCUGUUCCACUAAUCUACUUGUCAAUUUUUCCAGCAACACCACACCCUCCUGAUCACCAUAGCUUUAUGGUAAGACACCCCUACUCUGUCCAGACCCAACUGUCAACAGAAGCCAAAGCCAUCUGGAGGAGCAUGCAACAACAAGAAACAAAUUUAUUAGCUAACCUAACCACUAAUGACGCAAGAGACAAUUCUAAGGACUUUCAAAACAGCAAAGUAGGAGCAGCUGCUACCUCUAGGGAUGAGGGAGAAACUCAAAAAUGCAUACAAAAACCAUUGCAUGAAAAGUGACUGGAUUUGUACAUAGCGUCAGGAGAUGUGCGUAGUGUCAAAGUAUCUCAUCACACAUUACUUGAUAAUUACAAAUGAGAAAAAUGAACCUUCACAGUGGCAAGACUUGACUUCUACCUCUUUCAAAAAGAUGCAAUUGUCCAAUUAUUGGUGAAAUUGUCAUUUCAUGCUAUUGGCUAUUUGAAAUUCCUCCUCUAAUUUCAGAAUAAAUCACUGAAAUUGACAUCGGCCAGUCUGAAUUUCAAGAAAUUACCUGCUGAAGACAAGAGGGAUCUCUUCUUCAGAUUUGCAGUCUGGGGAAGACACAGCCUCUACUGUACUUUAGAACCUGAGAUAUGGUGGUGGAGGGAGCCCUGGGUCGAGUGGUAAGAUUCACCCUUAGGUUAGUAUUGACGUAAGGUGACGAGGAGCUGUAGACAAAAGAUUGUAACCAUAAGAACUUCAUAGUUUUUGUAUUUUCACCGAGCUUAUAUUUGGUGUGUUUUUUGUCUUUUCUUUAUGAUUAUCAAUAAAA